rnacentral:lncRNA from 1 species
GUGAGACUUUGCUGAAUACAAAUAUGUGUAUUUUAUUGCAGUAAAAGCAAACAGUAUUGUGACACUGACCGUUUAAUUGUCAUGUAGAACUAAAAAAAUCCAAUAAAAUCGUAUUUUCUCCCAUUUUUUUCAUAUUAAAUUAUGUUUCAUAGUUAAAUAUUUGAUAUUAAAUGAAAGCCCUGUUUCCCCUGAAUAAAAUGAUAUAUAAUAAGG